rnacentral:rRNA from 1 species
GAUGAACGCUGGCGGCGUGCCUAAUACAUGCAAGUCGAGCGAACAGACGAGGAGCUUGCUCCUCUGACGUUAGCGGCGGACGGGUGGGUAACACGUGGAUAACCUACCUAUAAGACUGGGAUAACUUCGGGAAACCGGAGCUAAUACCGGAUAAUAUAUUGAACCGCAUGGUUCAAUAGUGAAAGACGGUUUUGCUGUCACUUAUAGAUGGAUCCGCGCCGCAUUAGCUAGUUGGUAAGGUAACGGCUUACCAAGGCAACGAUGCGUAGCCGACCUGAGAGGGUGAUCGGCCACACUGGAACUGAGACACGGUCCAGACUCCUACGGGAGGCAGCAGUAGGGAAUCUUCCGCAAUGGGCGAAAGCUUGACGGAGCAACGCCGCGUGAGUGAUGAAGGUCUUCGGAUCGUAAAACUCUGUUAUUAGGGAAGGACAAAUGUGUAAGUAACUAUGCACGUCUUGACGGUACCUAAUCAGAAAGCCACGGCUAACUACGUG